rnacentral:rRNA from 1 species
UUGGAGGGCAAGUCUGGUGCCAGCAGCCGCGGUAAUUCCAGCUCCAAUAGCGUAUAUUAAAGUGUUGCAGUUAAAAAGCUCGUAGUUGAAUUUCGAGAUCAAUUUGUCGGUCGUGCCUCGGUAUGUACUGGCAUUAUUGAUUUCUCCCUUCUGAAGAACCGCGAUGUCAUUAAUUUGGUGUCGUGGGGAAUCAGGACUGUUACUUUGAAAAAAUUAGAGUGUUUAAAGCAGGCGCACGCUUGAAUACAUUAGCAUGGAAUAAUGAAAUAGGACGUUUGAUUCUAUUUUGUUGGUUUCUAGGAUCGACGUAAUGAUUAAUAGGGAUAGUUGGGGGCAUUAGUAUUCAAUUGUCAGAGGUGAAAUUCUUGGAUUUAUUGAAGACUAACUACUGCGAAAGCAUUUGCCAAGGAUGUUUUCAUUAAUCAAGAACGAAAGUUAGGGGAUCGAAGACGAUCAGAUACCGUCGUAGUCUUAACCAUAAACUAUGCCGACUAGGGAUCGGACGAAGUUAAUUUUAUAAUGACGCGUUCGGCGCCUUACGGGAAAC